ACUUGACCCUGCAGAGCCUCCUGGCAUUGAGCAAGUAGGUGUGGAGCAGGUGAGAAGAUCUUACCCAAGAUCCUCUGAAGGACAGCAAAGCACACACUCUAAUCUUUGAAUUAUCUGCUUCUUUACUGUUUAACAUCAACAAAACAUCCUUUCUUAUUAAAGUUUGCUCUCUCCAGAGGGUUUGUAGAUGUUGGGGUGUGCUGCUUCACCAACAUCAAGAAGAAAAACAAGGGCUUAUGGCUUCCUUUAAAUAUACUGUUCCUCAGUUUAACUCACAUUUUGAGGAUGAUGGUCAAAAAAUUUAUUUGCUUUUUAUUUAUGGUUCAAAGCACAGAACCAGACUGAUGCAUACUGAAGUUGUUUACAGUUUUUGUUAAAUGUCACCAUCUGAAUAAUUUCUUCUGUAUGUUUCUGAGUCUGUGAGUUUCUUGUGCUGGUCUUGCUGCAGCCUCUGACAUGAGACAUGCAGAUGAAGCAGCAAAAUUGGGCUUGAGUUACACCUGCCUCAUCAGUGUGCACAUUAACUUUCACAUGCUGAGCACGUGGACCUGCAAGAAUUGUGGUCCACAGUUUGUGAGGGAAGAGGAUUUUCUAAACCUCUUGGUGCCUGGAGGCUCUGUGAGCCAGUGCCUGCAAGACUACCCAAAAUAGGAAAAGUGAGACUAUUUGUGCCAGUAUGGAGCUGAGACGUCAUCAUUGCAGUGGUCAUUCUUUACCCUUCCAAAGCGAGUAACAACAAUUUCAUGUGAACUAUAAGAUCCACAGAGCCUGUGUGCCAAAUUAAGCAAUUAUCUUAUUAAAUUAUGUCUUUUUAAAUCAGAUCCUCAACUCUAUUUUUCUUCCUCCUUUCAGUGUGUUUGCAAAUCUGUUAAUCCUCCAGUUAAAGAGAUUAAUUUUCACCUUGUCCUUCAGGGUGGCAAAGUUCUUAUUUUCUGCACGCUCAGAUUUGGAUCUGUUGGGUUUCAGUGAUUUUGGUUUGACGACAUUUAAUGCAGUUUUUAGGAGUGCAUUUAUUAGCUAAGGGGAUGGCAGGAAGGUAAAGUGCUAGGGUCAAAUGGGAACAUGAAAUACAUGUAAAAAUUGAUGUUGAUUAAUAAUGUCUUGAAUAUCUUUUU